rnacentral:lncRNA from 1 species
ACUGUGAAUUUGGUCCCCAAAAAGUUGGAUCUGUUAAAACAAAUCAAGGUAAGUUUAGAUUUCUGAAAUGACUAAUGUAUGAUGCAUCAGUAAAAUCAUAAACCAGCUGACAAUACCUCAACUUUCCAAUGUAGGUACUGCUUCCUUUUGACACAUCAUUGCAAUUUAAUGAGAUGAUAUAAUCUGUGCAGGUAGGACGGCGGCACUUCCUUGCAGCAAGAAGGAACUUUCCAUCAUCGUUGGAAGCUGCCAAGUCAAUACCCAAAGCAAAACAGUUUCAUAUAUACAACUAAGAGAAGAUACCAAAAGAGAAACAAGGCACUCACCAACCACCACAUCAUUGUAAAGGCAAUAACUUUCUAUGAAUCUAAUUACAUAACAUAUCCUUAAUAUUUUUAACUCAAUUAAAAAAAUAUAAGAAAAAUCCUACGUCAGAAUACAAAAGCACCAAGCAGUACAAAUGACCAUUCAUAAGAGUAAAGCUCACAACAUCAGCCCCUUUCUCCAAC